rnacentral:lncRNA from 1 species
AUGAAACUUCUACAUGUUCCUAGCUUUGAAAUUGUUCAUUCAAAAAAUGGAAAAAAGCUACACAAAUUCUUUGUUUCACCGGAAGACCUAGAUGGUGACUUUUUGAAUAGUCAUUCUAGUGUCAAAACUCCUCUGUACAUAAGGCCAAAAUCUUGCGACAUAGUGGAAACCAGUGUAACAAAGCGAGAUGAUUCAUUGAACCGGGAGGAAGUUGUAACAAAGCGAGAUGAUUCAUUGAAGCAGGAUGAAGUUAUAAAUCUCUCAUCAGAUGAAGACUCCGUUUUUCUGCCGAAAAAGAAGGCAAAAAAAAUAAAAUCUGCGAGAAUUGAGAUAAUUUCUGAAGAAGAUUCUCAUUCACUGAAGCAAGCUUGUGUUCAGUCCUUCUUAAUUGAUGUCAGGAAUUACAUAAAUGAUAAUCUACUUUUCAUCAGUGCCAAUCGAUAUGAACCUGUUUUACCUGUAUUAUACAAUGCUUUGCAAUCGCCGGGCUUUUCCAUCCUUUCACGAUUAUACGCUGAUUUCAAAGGAGAAAAGGGACUCGGCUUUGGGGUCACUAAGGAGCUAUUUUUUCUUGCGCUAAAAGAAUUGAGACAGUCAGAUCUCUUAGAAGGAGAUGAAUUCCACAAAACUUUUAUAAAGUGUAAAUCGGAGGUUGAUGCCGGAUCAUACAGACGUAUUGGUGAACUUUGCGUCUGGAGUAUUCUCCAAGGAGGCCCAUUCCCAACUUUCUUCUCCAGAAUUUUUGUCAAACUCAUUUUCGGAAGAAUUGAGGAAGCAAGGACUUCAGUCACCGUUGAUGAUGUGUUGAACAUCAGUGUCAGGAAUGAAAUAAUCAGACUGAAGGAAUCCAAAACUCUCGAUGAAGUCCGAAGUGCUCUCGUAGAUGGCUCUGUUUUCCAGUACUCUGGAAUAAAAUUGCAGGUCAACGCAUCAACAUUCAUAAAUGACAGAAAUUUGGCUGUCAAAAGUGAGUUAGCUUUCAAUUAUUGUUGGUUCUUAUUACACCAAAUCUUAGUAUCAAUCAAAUGUAGAUGA